rnacentral:tRNA from 1 species
GCCGCGGUAGCUCAGCCUGGCUAGAGUUUGACACUCUUGGGCUAUGGAGAGCAUCCGGCUGAAGACCGGAGUGUCGUCGGCUCAAAUCCGACCCGCGGCA